GACGAACGCUGGCGGUGUGCUUCACACAUGCAAGUCGAACGAGGUAGCAAUACCUAGUGGCGGACGGGUGAGUAACGCGUGGGAAUCUGCCUUUAGAUGGGGGAUAACGGGUCGAAAGACUCGCUAAUACCGCAUAUGACCGAAAGUUGAAAGGAGUAAUCCGUCUAAAGAUGGAGCCCGCGUCCGAUUAGCUAGUUGGUAGAGUAAAAGCCUACCAAGGCGACGAUCGGUAGCCUGGGUCUGAGAGGAUGAUCAGCCAACAAUGGGACUGAGACACGGCCCAUACUCCUACGGGAGGCAGCAGUGGGGAAUUUUACGCAAUGGGCGAAAGCCUGACGUAGCGACACCGCGUGAGCGAAGAAGCCCCUUGGGGUGUAAAGCUCUGUCAGCUGGACGAAAAAAUGACGGUACCAGCAGAGGAAGCAUCGGCUAACACGUGCCAGCAGCCGCGGUAAAGUCUGUACU
rnacentral:rRNA from 1 species